AGAAGCCAAUAUUGCCCCGUGUCGUCUACUCCAUCUCCCUGUCAACCCGCCACCCCAGGGGCAAACAUGACUGGCAUACAGAAAGUCUUCUUCAAGGUGUCUCCUCGCCCAAUCCACGCAAUGAUACAGAAAAGAUUUACUAGCAUUCAUAGCAAACCACCCAAAGGAAAAGUUGGUCCAAUCGAAACGGUCUUUGGGCUGACUGUGUUUGCACUGGGUCUUCUGACACCCGCCGGAUGGAUUUUACUGCAUCUUCCAGAGCAGCGAAGUCACUAGAAUACCCGCGACAUAUGACUCCCGGAUCUCCUUCUCCCCCGAGAUAAAACAGCCCCCACUGAACAACAUCGUCUUUAGAAAA